GAGGUUAGCGGCGGACGGGUGAGUACACGUGGGCAACCUGCCUAUGAGACUGGGAUAACUCCGGGAAACCGGGGCUAAUACCGGAUAAUUCUUUUCUACUCAUGUAGAGAAGUUGAAAGAUGGUUUCGGCUAUCCC
rnacentral:rRNA from 1 species